AUUGAAUGCUGGCGGAAUGCUUUACACAUGCAAGUCGAACGGUAGAGGGGCAACCCUUGAGAGUGGCGAACGGGUGAGUAAUGUAUCGGAACAUGCCCAGUCGUGGGGGAUAACGUAGCGAAAGUUACGCUAAUACCGCAUACGAUCUACGGAUGAAAGCGGGGGACACGCAAGAGCCUCGCGCGAUUGGAGUGGCCGAUAUCAGAUUAGGUAGUUGGUAGGGUAAAAGCCUACCAAGCCGACGAUCUGUAGCUGGUCUGAGAGGACGACCAGCCACACUGGGACUGAGACACGGCCCAGACUCCUACGGGAGGCAGCAGUGGGGAAUUUUGGAAAAUGGGCGCAAGCCUGAUCCAGCCAUUCCGCGUGCAGGAAGAAGGCCUUCGGGUUGUAAACUGCUUUUGUACGGAACGAAACGCGCUAGGUUAAUACCCUGGCGUAAUGACGGUACCGUAAGAAUAAGCACCGGCUAACUACGUGCCAGCCGCCGCUGAAUAC
rnacentral:rRNA from 1 species